rnacentral:rRNA from 1 species
GACGAACGCUGGCGGCGUGCCUAAUACAUGCAAGUCGAGCGAAGUUUUUCUGGUGCUUGCACUAGAAAAACUUAGCGGCGAACGGGUGAGUAACACGUAAAGAACCUGCCUCAUAGACUGGGACAACUAUUGGAAACGAUAGCUAAUACCGGAUAACAGUAUUUCUCGCAUGAGAGAUAUUUAAAAGUUGGUUAUGCUAACACUAUGAGAUGGCUUUGCGGUGCAUUAGCUAGUUGGUGGGGUAAAGGCCCACCAAGGCGACGAUGCAUAGCCGACCUGAGAGGGUGAUCGGCCACACUGGGACUGAGACACGGCCCAGACUCCUACGGGAGGCAGCAGUAGGGAAUCUUCCGCAAUGGGCGAAAGCCUGACGGAGCAACGCCGCGUGAGUGAAGAAGGAUUUCGGUUCGUAAAGCUCUGUUGUUAGGGAAGAAUGGAUAUGUAGUAACUAUACAUGUAAGAGACGGUACCUAGCCAGAAAGCCACGGCUAACUACGUG